rnacentral:rRNA from 1 species
GUGGGGAAUAUUGGACAAUGGGCGAAAGCCUGAUCCAGCCAUGCCGCGUGCAGGAUGAAGGCCUUCGGGUUGUAAACUGCUUUUGUACGGAACGAAAAGACUCUUUCUAAUAAAGAGGGUCCAUGACGGUACCGUAAGAAUAAGCACCGGCUAACUACGUGCCAGCAGCCGCGGUAAUACGUAGGGUGCGAGCGUUAAUCGGAAUUACUGGGCGUAAAGCGUGCGCAGGCGGUUAUGUAAGACAGAUGUGAAAUCCCCGGGCUCAACCUGGGAACUGCAUUUGUGACUGCAUAGCUAGAGUACGGUAGAGGGGGAUGGAAUUCCGCGUGUAGCAGUGAAAUGCGUAGAUAUGCGGAGGAACACCGAUGGCGAAGGCAAUCCCCUGGACCUGUACUGACGCUCAUGCACGAAAGCGUGGGGAGCAAACAGGAUUAGAUACCCUGGUAGUCC